GCAUUAGUGGAAAAAAACAGGGUAGCCCUGAAACAAUAGGAUGACGUCACGACCAAUGAGAACGGCCUGCAGGGGGCGCAAGGAUUGACUUCUCUCUUGGACACUGACGGGUCUGGACACGCAAAUUUUGCUCCUGGCGUUGGCCGUCAGUGGAAGGACGUAGCUUCGGUGGGGUUCUGUCUGCCUCUGAUGGGGUGCGGAUGUGUGGUUCGUCACUGGUGAAUGGUGUUCGACGAUGCAGGUGGAUUUUGUGACGAGCGGAUUUACAAUGAGGGAAUGCUGUGAACGGGAAAAAUGAUGAGCUGUCCUAACUUGCCCAGACAUGCCGUGAUGACGUCACAGCUGACGUCACAGGAUGUCCGGAACUGGUGGUCAUAGCUGCGAUGCUUUGCAACCUGGUUCUGUGCUCCGUCGCCCAGCGACGGUCAGCGGCCUUUCCGGGCGCUUUCUUCAAGAUGGCGUCGUUGAUCUUCAACUAAACUCCUUCUCUCCACUCUCUCUCUAUCUAUUUUUUUUUAUUUUUUAUGGACUCUCGUAGUGCACAAGGCUCGGGUGGUCUGGACACGAGUUAGACGUUCCCCAAUUAGUUUGAUGACUCAUUGGAUGAUGCUGAUUAAUGUGGGGGGUCCCAAUUAGCUCUAAUUGCUAAUUAAUGGCGUCCAGAAGCCUUGUAGCGUUGUGCACUGUGAGAGUCCAGUACUUACUACUGGUGUGCAGUCCCACCCAAUGAGACCAAAAGAGGCUGUCUUCCUUCUACACACUAAUCUUGUAUCAUUAAUGUCCUUAUAAGCGGCCAGCCCGUUAAAGCAUUUCUGGACACAGUAGCAUCCAUUUCUGUCAUUCACCUUAACAGAAUACUGGGCUUACGCUUAGAAGACCUGUUUCUGUACAAGCAUACGAUAGUUGCACGUCAUUUCACAAUACGUGGGCCGACAUUACACUGACGUUCCAGGAAAGAACAGUCUCAUUACAAGCCUUGAUCAUGUCUGAUGUUCAAUAUGAUUUUCUCCCCUCACGACCUGAUAUGAAGACUCUCAAUGCCGAACCUAUAUUGGAACGACAAAGUCGACGCUGACUCCCAACAAGGCAAUAGCAAAUUAAUGUUACGUAUUCAAGAUACGGAAGACAUUAAACGACCCUACCCUGAUCUCGUUUGCCCACAGGGAUAUCCCACAGAGAGAAGUGGCUUGCACAAGAGCUCGACAGAAUGUUACAAGCAGGUAUCAUCAGGCAUUCUACUUCUCCUUUUGCAUCUCCGAUCACCAUAGUACCAAAGCAAGACGGAUCGCUACGUUUGUACACGUAUUACCGGAAAAUCAACACUCAAACGGAGUUCUUCCCUUGGCCAAUAACCCGAAUAGACGACAUAACCAAUGAAACCGGUGGUUUUCUCCAGGAUUGAUUUGGCGAAGGGGUUCUGGCAAGUUCCACUAACUGAAACAACGAAAUGUAGUUUUUGACGGUUUGUAUCAAAUUCAAUAUACUACCUUUUGGCUGACGGAGUAUUAGAGGAGAUGAGCCAUGAUAUCCUGUGCCACUCAACGGUAUUACAAGGAUAACCGGCGGAAGAGUAAGAAAGAGUGAAAGAAAGGAAAAGAACAGAGAGAGGAGAAGAGAGCGAGUUAAGAGAAAGAAACAGAGAGGAAU